GAGACAGAUCCUGGAGUGCAGUGGCAUGAUCUUGGCUCAUUGCAACUUCCGCCUCCCGGGUUCAAGCAACUCUCCUGCAUCAGCCUCCCAAGUAGCUGUGGUUAUAGGCUUGCGCCACCACGCCCAGCUAAUUUUUGUAUUUUUAGCAGAGACAGGGUUUUGCCAUGUUGGCCAGGCUGGUCUCGAACUCUUGACCUCAAAUGAUCCGCCCUCCUUGGCCUCCCAAAGUGCUGGGAUUACAGGCGUAAGCCACCGUACCCAACCCUCAAUUACUUUUGCACCAACCUUUUAAGAAAGUGGCUCACUCCUCCUUUAUGAGCAGUGGUUUUCAGCCCCUAAUAGGGCAUUUGGCAAUGUCAGGGGACUUUUUUUUUUGAGACAGGGUCUCACCCUGUUGCCCAGGCUGGAGCAAGACUGAGUGACCCUGUCUCUAAAACAAAAAAGGACUGUCGUUGACGGUGUUGCUUGGGACACUACCCGUCAUCCCUUCAAAGGUCCCACGAGAAUUCCUCUCAGACUUUAGUGUCAGAAAUAGCUGCGCUGCUUCUAGGUUGAGUGUUUUAUUUUGCUUUUUAAUUGAGUCAGAAUCCUGCUCUGUUGCCCAGGUUGGAGUGCAGUGGCACAAUCUCGGCUCACUGCAACCUCCACCUCCCAGGCUUAGGUGAGUCCCCUGCCUCAGUCUCCCUAGUAGCUGGGAUUACAGGUGUCUGCCACCACGCCCAGCUAAUUUUAAGCGGAGUUUCACCAUGUUGACCAGGCUGGUCUCGAACUCCUGGCCUCAUGUGAUCCACCCGCCUUGGUCUCCCAAAGUGCUAGGAUUACAGGCAUGAGCCACUGCACCCGGCCAGGGUUGGUUUUAAUCUUGUGGACUUUGUGAGUCUCAAAACCGGCAGAUUUCCCUCUUUGUUUUGACUGAUACGAAGCUCAGAAUCCUGUUUGCAGUCCACCUUUGAGGAUUGUGGAGCCCCAGCCAAAGAACAUUUCUGUGUCCUACCCUCUUGGUUCAUUGUACCAUGUGUUCCAGUGUUGUUUUCUCUCUGAUCUAUUUUUAUCCUAUUGUAUUUUAUGAAUUUUUGUAAGCUGCCUCUAAUCCUUUUUGGAAGAAAGCAGGGCAGAAGAAGAAAACAAGAUUCAUCAGAACCCUGUGGCCUUGACAAGUGUGUU
rnacentral:lncRNA from 10 species